AUUGAACGCUGGCGGCAGGCCUAACACAUGCAAGUCGAACGAGUGGCGGACGGGUGAGUAAUGUCUGGGAAACUGCCUGAUGGAGGGGGAUAACUACUGGAAACGGUAGCUAAUACCGCAUAACAUAAGAUGUGCCCAGAUGGGAUUAGCUAGUGGGUGGGGUAACGGCUCACCAAGGCGACUAUCCCUAGCUGGUUUGAGAGGAUGACCGGCCCCACUGGAACGGAGACACGGUCCGGACUCCUACGGGAGGCAGCGGUGGGGAUUAUUGCACAAUGGGCGCAAGCCUGAUGCAGCCAUGCCGGUUGUAUGAGGAAGGCCUUCGGGUUUUAAAGUACUUUCAGCGGGGAGGCGUUACCCGCAGAGGAAGCACCGGCUAACUCCGUGCCAGCAGCCGCGGUAAUUC
rnacentral:rRNA from 1 species